AUUGAACGCUGGCGGCAUGCCUUACACAUGCAAGUCGAACGGCAGCAUGGGUGCUUGCACCUGAUGGCGAGUGGCGAACGGGUGAGUAAUGCAUCGGAACGUACCCGGAAGUGGGGGAUAACGUAGCGAAAGUUACGCUAAUACCGCAUAUUCUGUGAGCAGGAAAGCGGGGGAUCGCAAGACCUCGCGCUUCCGGAGCGGCCGAUGUCGGAUUAGCUAGUUGGCGGGGUAAAGGCCCACCAAGGCAACGAUCCGUAGCGGGUCUGAGAGGAUGAUCCGCCACACUGGGACUGAGACACGGCCCAGACUCCUACGGGAGGCAGCAGUGGGGAAUUUUGGACAAUGGGGGCAACCCUGAUCCAGCCAUGCCGCGUGAGUGAAGAAGGCCUCGG
rnacentral:rRNA from 1 species